rnacentral:pre_miRNA from 1 species
AAGGACAACAGGACAGGCGCUGACUCUCAGCUGGUUUUUAUUUGAAGUCAUCAACAAAUUCAGUUGAGAGUUAGCGCCUGUCCGGUUGUCUUC